GCGGGCGUAGUUCAACGGUAGAACCUCAGCCUUCCAAGCUGAUGAUGUGGGUUCGAUUCCCAUCGCCCGCUCCA
rnacentral:tRNA from 5 species